UAAAGUUUUAUUGGAAGACAGUCUUA
rnacentral:piRNA from 1 species